AUUGAACGCUGGCGGCAUGCCUUACACAUGCAAGUCGAACGGCAGCACGGGUGCUUGCACCUGGUGGCGAGUGGCGAACGGGUGAGUAAUACAUCGGAACAUGUCCUGUAGUGGGGGAUAGCCCGGCGGAAGCCGGAUUAAUACCGCAUACGAUCCACGGAUGAAAGCGGGGGACCUUCGGGCCUCGCGCUAUAGGGUUGGCCGAUGGCUGAUUAGCUAGUUGGUGGGGUAAAGGCCUACCAAGGCGACGAUCAGUAGCUGGUCUGAGAGGACGACCAGCCACACUGGGACUGAGACACGGCCCAGACUCCUACGGGAGGCAGCAGUGGGGAAUUUUGGACAAAGGGCGAAAGCCUGAUCCAGCAAUGCCGCGUGUGUGAAGAAGGCCUUCGGGUUGUAAAGCACUUUUGUCCGGAAAGAAAUCCUUGACUCUAAUACAGUCGGGGGAUGACGGUACCGGAAGAAUAAGCACCGGCUAACUACGUG
rnacentral:rRNA from 1 species